rnacentral:lncRNA from 1 species
UCCUAUUAGAAAGAAAUAGCGAUGACGUGGAAUCACAAUUUCAUAUAAUCCUUUCUCCAUACAUCAAUUACAUUUCCAUCUAAAAAUCAGGUAACAAUUUUUUUUUCAUUCUAAAAUUUAAUCUUUAACAAAAAAAAAUCCUUAACUUCAAAAUACUAUUAACUUCAUUUUCGUGGGUUUGAUUUUUAUGAAAUCUGGGCUUGAGGUUUUUUUAUGAAAUUUCAGAAAACUCUGAGUAUCCCAUACCAAAUUUAUAUUUAAGCAUAAAAUAAAUUCAAAACUCGUGAAUAAACUCGACUCCUCUUAUUUAAAGCCACUCUUUUAAGUCCUGUCUGUCCUAGCCCUAUACAUAAAGCACAACCAUACACUCCAUCAUCGAUUACUUCCACUAUGGAUACUCUCCUCAUCUGUUAUCAUCUUCCAUGGCUCCCCAUAAUCCUCAACAAGAUGAUCACGUUUUCAUCUCUCGUGAUACCAACUUUGCGUUGCAUGGUGAGAUUAUGUUGCUUAUUUUUCUCCUACUUUUUGCCCUCUUCCUUUCCUUCCUGCUCUUCUUCCUCUACAUAAAAGGCUCCCGAAGUAAUGCUAAUCUGCGAGAUUAUUCAUCCCAAUAAGUCUGACCAACUAAAUUCUUCGCUUUGCACACCAAAACCAUUCACUGCACUGCAUGAAUCCACCAGCGUAACUGUGACUAGUGGUACAGUAAUACUAUCAAACGGAAGCGUGAUUUAAGGCUUUGAGGUUUGGUUUCUCUCUCAUAUCACUCGUGGAGUACUAGGCAAGGCAACCAGGGAUGAAUCGCCACAUAACGAUGCCUAACAUAUUGCCAUGAAAUGGGAGCUGCACAACUAAUGGCGGAGAAUACAUAUAAAUUCAAUCUAUUUAUAUGGAUUUGUAGGUCUGAUUUUUAAAAAUCCUAUGUACAUGUGGAAUAUUAUGUAUUAAUAGGGAAGCUAAUGAGGUUACCGAUAAAUUGGCCAAGGAUGGUGUUAAUACAAUGUCCCCUACUGGUGCAAUGUUGACAGAGGGAGUGAGAUUGAUGAGAACAUCGAAGGCGUGCGGUUGAAGAUCCUUUGGAAGGUCUUGGCUUUUGUCCACACGAUGUUGGGCUGCUUUUUUUUUUGCCCUUUAUCUGUUUGCUGUCCUUGUUUUAUUUACUUAUUUGUUUUAUUUGCUAAUGAGGUUGCCGAGAAAUAGAUAUAUGAUUUGCAAAUGGGUUAUGGGCCUGUUGGUGUUAUGCCUCAUUUAGAAGGUCGAGUGGUGGAUGCAAUAAGGACUUGUACAAACUAAAAACUGGGUCCUUCCAUGCCUCGAAUGCUUUGAGGCCUUGAGGAUUUCAAAUUCUAGUUUCACAUUGCCUUUGAAAAAGUGAUUUUCACAAGUGUGAUUUAGGAUUUUAUGUAUUAAGGAUGAUUGAAAGUUUUUAUUUUCAUUUUUAAUAUUUAAUAUUUUAAAUAAAUUUGAUAAUUAUUUUAAUUUUAUUAGGUUGAUUUUAUUAAAAAUUUGAAAUAAAU